rnacentral:rRNA from 1 species
CGCGUAGGCGGCCGAUUAAGUCGGGGGUGAAAGCCUGUGGCUCAACCACAGAAUUGCCUUCGAUACUGGUUGGCUUGAGACCGGAAGAGGACAGCGGAACUGCGAGUGUAGAGGUGAAAUUCGUAGAUAUUCGCAAGAACACCAGUGGCGAAGGCGGCUGUCUGGUCCGGUUCUGACGCUGAGGCGCGAAAGCGCGGGGAGCAAACA